rnacentral:rRNA from 1 species
AACAGGAUUAGAUACCCUGGUAGUCCACGCCGUAAACGAUGAGUGCUAGGUGUUGGGGGGUUCCACCCUCAGUGCUGACGUUAACACAUUAAGCACUCCGCCUGGGGAGUACGGCCGCAAGGCUGAAACUCAAAGGAGUUGACGGGGGCCCGCACAAGCAGUGGAGCAUGUGGUUUAAUUCGAAGCAACGCGAAGAACCUUACCAGGUCUUGACAUCCUCUGACCACUUGAGAGAUCAAGCUUUCCCCUUCGGGGGACAGAGUGACAGGUGGUGCAUGGUUGUCGUCAGCUCGUGUCGUGAGAUGUUGGGUUAAGUCCCGCAACGAGCGCAACCCUUGACCUUAGUUGCCAGCAUUCAGUUGGGCACUCUAAGGUGACUGCCGGUGACAAACCGGAGGAAGGUGGGGAUGACGUCAAAUCAUCAUGCCCCUUAUGACCUGGGCUACACACGUGCUACAAUGGGUGGUACAAAGGGUUGCAAAGCCGCGAGGCCGAGCCAAUCCCAAAAAGCCACUCUCAGUUCGGAUUGUAGGCUGCAACUCGCCUACAUGAGGCCGGAAUUGCUAGUAAUCGCGGAUCAGCAUGCCGCGGUGAAUACGUUCCCGGGCCUUGUACACACCGCCCGUCACACCACGAGAGUUUGUAACACCCGAAGUCGGUGGGGUAACCUUUUGGAGCCAGCCGCCGAAGGUGGGACAGAUGAUUGGGGUGAAGUCGUAACAAGGUAAGCCGU